UACAGGGGGGGCAAGCGUUGUUCGGAAUUACUGGGCGUAAAGGGCUCGUAGGUGGCCAACUAAGUCAGACGUGAAAUCCCUCAGCUUAACUGGGGAACUGCGUCUGAUACUGGAUGGCUUGAGUUUGGGAGAGGGAUGCGGAAUUCCAGGUGUAGCGGUGAAAUGCGUAGAUAUCUGGAGGAACACCGGUGGCGAAGGCGGCAUCCUGGACCAACACUGACACUGAGGAGCGGAAGCCAGGGGAGCAAACGGG
rnacentral:rRNA from 1 species